UGAUAUCGUUGAUGACAUUUCGGUCUCCUGCGUAGCAUCAUCAAAUUUUCUUAAUUGUGACACUCCAGAGCAAUCUUUAUGACCUUGUUUGAUGACCUCACAGUUUAAACAAGAUCUCGUGAUGCACCAUAGGAUUUGAAUGAAACACUAUCCUUGGAUAGUUUAUUUGCAGCGUUGUAAACAACAGCAGAGUCGGAGUGUGUUGUGAAAAUAUUCUACGUAAUUACAGCUAUAUAACUUACGACGUUGGAAAUGAAAGUUCUCUGGGGAAUUUUGUGGAUUAUAUUGUUGCUGUUUAUUGGUUGGCCAAUAGGAUUCUUCUGCGCUGGAUGGUAUGUUUGUCUAUCACCUUUUGAGUCAUGUCUCAUAAUUUGCAAAGACAUAUCGGAGUUCCUGAUGAAAGGUGUAAAGCUGCCGUUGGAAAUCGCCAGGCAUGCGGCUGCAGGAGCUAGUUCGUGGUAGAUUUACUAUGACCAAUGAAAACCAUUUUUAUGUAAUUUUUACAUGCUGUUUUGAUAUUAGUUGAACACGUGCUUCGUAGCUAAACUGCUACAGAUGCUUAUUAUUUCCUAUAAAAUACUUAAAUGAUUAUUUUGUUAACUCAAUUCCGACUGCAUAUUUUGAAAAAAAUAUUCAAAGAUGAUGUGUAUUAAAUAUCACCGUUAGAAA